ACGCUCGACACCUACGGGGAGGCAGCAGGUGGGGAAUAUUGCACAAUGGGGGAAACCCUGAUGCAGCGACGCCGCGUGAGCGAAGAAGUAUUUCGGUAUGUAAAGCUCUAUCAGCAGGGAAGAAACUGACGGUACCUGACUAAGAAGCACCGGCUAAAUACGUGUCAGCAGCCGCGGUAAUCUGAGCGGGCUGGCAAGGC
rnacentral:rRNA from 1 species